CCAUGGUGAAAAAUGAUCUAGUCAAUGUGAUUUUGACCAACGACAUCAAAUCAAUCAAUAGUAGGUGAGCACUUGGGAAGAGGAGAGGCGUGAGAGAGAGAGAUAGAGGGGAAGAGAGGGAUGAGAGGAUGUGGGAUUACAUGAAAGAACGGAGUGGUCAUAAAUUUUGCUCAGACAGACGAAUAAAACUUGCGCUAUCCUCCCAGUCCCUCUGGUUUUUCCUCAAGGGCUGGUGGUCCAGGUAUUUGGUCAGCUCGUAUGUCCUCUCUAUGGAGCUCCUCUCGUUGGACAGGAUGAGCGUGCGGUCCAGCACCUGACCG